GACGAACGCUGGCGGCGUGCUUAACACAUGCAAGUCGAACGGAAAGGCCCUGCUUGCAGGGUACUCGAGUGGCGAACGGGUGAGUAACACGUGGGUGAUCUGCCCUGCACUUCGGGAUAAGCCUGGGAAACUGGGUCUAAUACCGGAUAGGAGCCAUUUUUAGUGUGAUGGUUGGAAAGUUUUUUCGGUGUAGGAUGAGCUCGCGGCCUAUCAGCUUGUUGGUGGGGUAAUGGCCUACCAAGGCGGCGACGGGUAGCCGGCCUGAGAGGGUGGCCGGCCACAUUGGGACUGAGAUACGGCCCAGACUCCUACGGGAGGCAGCAGUGGGGAAUAUUGCACAAUGGGCGCAAGCCUGAUGCAGCGACGCCGCGUGGGGGAUGACGGCCUUCGGGUUGUAAACUCCUUUCGCUAGGGACGAAGCUUGUUGUGACGGUACCUAGAUAAGAAGCACCGGCUAACUACGU
rnacentral:rRNA from 1 species